CAGCAGCCACGGUAAUACGGAGGGUGCAAGCGUUACUCGGAAUCACUGGGCGUAAAGGACGCGUAGGCGGAUUAUCAAGUCUCUUGUGAAAUCUAACGGCUUAACCGUUAAACUGCUUGGGAAACUGAUAAUCUAGAGUGAGGGAGAGGCAGAUGGAAUUCUUGGUAUAGGGGUAAAAUCCGUAGAUAUCAAGAAGAAUACCUAUUGCGAAGGCGAUCUGCUGGAACUUAACUGACGCUAAUGCGUGAAAGCGUGGGGAGCAAACAGGAUUAGAUACCCCCGUAGUCCCUGUCUCUUAUAC
rnacentral:rRNA from 1 species